GCCGGAGUGGUGGAACUGGCAGACACGCAGGUUUUAGGUACCUGUGCCUUCGGGUGUGCGGGUUCGAGUCCCGCCUUCGGCA
rnacentral:tRNA from 1 species